UUUUUCAGGACAACCUCCAGCAGUAAGAGAUAUAAAGGUUCACUGCAGUUUUGACAAUGCUCAGCAGGUAUUGUACACAUACUAUGCUCAGCAAUUGGAGUUGCUGUGAAUUCUCAUGCAGGCUCUCAGAUUUUCUACCUAGUGUAUGAAAAGUACAGUACUGCUUUUGGAAGAGGAGCAAACAGUGUGAUAUCUAUGGUCCACCAUCACUUCAAGCAUCAUGGCUAUGGAGAAAAGAAUUUUUCAUUACAUAUGAACAAUUAUAGUGGACAAAAUAAGAAAAGUGUUGUAAUAAGUUAUGUAUUGUGGCUUGUUAUGAUGGGUCUACAUGAUGACUUGGAGUACAACCUGAUGG
rnacentral:lncRNA from 1 species